UUUAAAAUUAAAUGUGAUAAUAUUCAAAGGGUUCAUAUACUCUAUUAAAUUAUUUUAUUAUCUGUUAUAAGGUGAGAUUGCAUAUGCAUUGAGGGGAUAUAUGCAGAAAUAGAGCUGAAGAAAUGUUUCAGAAUUAUCGUUAUAUGGAAACGCCACUUUCCAAUAUGUGUUUUAUGGUAUAAGACCAAAAUUACAAAACACAGUGUCAGUUAUUGUUGCACAACAAUUUUGUUGUUUCAAUGUGCUACACAAUACAGCCAGAAUGAUGCCUGAACAAGAGCUGCCGCCGUUAGAUGAAAUAAAUAUGGACCAAAUUAAUAAGAAGAGAAAUAAUAAAUUAUUUUGAAAGA